AUUGAACGCUGGCGGCAGGCCUAACACAUGCAAGUCGAACGAGUGGCGGACGGGUGAGUAUUGCCUGGGAAACCGCCUGAUGGAGGGGGAUAACCACUGGUAACGGUAGCUAAUACCGCAUACCCUCAGAUGUGCCUAUAUGGGAUUAGCUAGUUGGUGGGGUAAUGGCUCACCAAGGCGACGAUCCCUCGCUGGUCUGAGAGGAUGACCAGCCAGACGGGAACUGUGACACGGUCCAGACUCCUACGGGAGGCAGCAGUGGGGAAUAUUGCACAAUGAGCGCAAGCCGGAAGGAGCCAUGCCACGUGGAUAAAGAAGGCCUUCGGUUUGUAAAGUACUUUCAGCGGGGAGGCGUUACCCGCAGAAGAAGCACCGGCUAACUCCGUGCCAGCCGCCGCGGUAAUUC
rnacentral:rRNA from 1 species